CAUGCCGGAUGCGACCCCUGCAGCAAUGGCUGGCGACAGUCUACUCCCAGUCCAGGGACCACCUGGAGAAGGUAGUCACCAUCCCUGUGAUGGUACUUACCUCGCUGAGAUGGUGGACCAAACCCAGGAAAGUCCUGGAAGGAGUUCCCUUUGUCAGCACUCCUCACUCAGUCGAGUUGGUUUCAGACGCCUUGGACCUCAUCUGCAAGGUGCACCUCGGCACCCUCCAGACCCAAGGUAUGUGGUCCCCAGAGGAAUCGACAUUAUACGUAAGUGUCAAAGAGCUCAGGGCAGUGUGCAGAGCAUGCACAGUCUUCCUACCUCACCUGUUGGGCAGAGUGAUCAGAGUCCUCACUGACAACACAGCCUCGAUGUUCUAUAUCAACAGGCAAGGUGGAGCAUGAUCCUCAGCCCUUUGCCAAAAGGCACUCCGCCUCUGGGACUUCUGCAUCAACCACAGAAUCCUCCCCAAGUGGAUUUGUUCGCCACCAGGCAAAACAAGUGAUGUCACAGGUUUUGCUCCAGAUGGCGUCUGGGCAAGGGCUCCCUCUUCAACACCUUCCUCCUGCCAUGGGCAGGAAGCCUGAUGUAUGCAUUCCCUCCAAUUCCACUCAUCAGCAAGCUCCUAGCGAAAAUCAAAAGGGACAAAAUGCAGGUUAUCAUGAUUUCCCUGGUGUGGCCUCGCCAGCACUGGUUUGGGACGCUAUCAAGCUUGUCAGCGAUCCCUCCCUGGCCCCUGCCGAACUGGCUGGUCCGACAGGAUCAUGGCCGACUCUUGCACCCCAACCUCGCAUCCUUCCACCUCAGUGUGAAUGUUGCGUGGCUGAACCCAGAUGAAUGGGCCUGUUCGGACAGGCUCUAGAAGGUCCUCCUUGGGAGUAGAAAGCCCUCGACUAUGCAGACCUACCUGGCAAAGUGGAUGAGGUUCUCCCGCUGGGCAGCCAAAUGGGGUAUCUCCCCUUCGCAUUCUUCGGUGCAGUCGAUCUUGGACUACCUGCUUCAUUUAAGGAACUAGGGCCAGGUGCGCUCCUCUAUCAGGGUACAUCUGGCUAUUUCAGCCUUUCACCUGCCAAUCCAGGGGCAGACUGUUCUCCCAUGACAUAACUGUCAGGUUCCUUAGAGGCCUCGAGAGGCUCUUUCUUCAAGUGCAGUCCCCGACCCCUUAGUGGGAUCUCAACUUGGUUCUGUCCAGGCUCACGGGCCUGCCCUUUGAGCCUUUGGCCUCAUGCUCCCUGUCUCACCUAUCAUGAAAGGUAGCUUUCCUGGUGAUGUCAGCGAGGCGAGUCUCUGAGCUGCGACCCCUGACCUCAGAACCGCCGUAUACUGUCUUCUAUAAGGACAAGGUCCAGCUCCGGCCCCACCCAGCCUUCCUCCCCAAGGUAGUGUCCGCUUUCCAUAUGAACCAGGACAUCUUUCUUCCGGUCUUCUGCCCUAAUCCCCAUGAGAUUCAUGGAGAGGUGCUUUCAUGCUUUGGACAUAAGAAGGGCUCUGGCUUGCUACCUAGAUCGGACAAAACCCUUUCUGUAAGUCGACUUAGCUUUUCAUCUCUACAGCCGAUAGAAUGAAGGGUCUCUCAGUGUCCACACAAAGGAUUUCUAACUGGAUCACCUCUUGCAUUCGGACCUGCUAUGAGUUAGCGAGAGUCCCUCUGCCAACGAUCAUCAGAGCCCACUUGACUAGAGCACAGGCAUCCUGUGUGGUCUUCCUGGUAUACGUUCCGAUCCAGAACAUCUCUAAAGCCACAACGUGGUCCUCGGUACACACGUUCAUGACCCACUAUGCCAUCGCUCAGCAGGCCAGGGAUGAUGCUGGGUUUGGCAGAGCUAUAUUGCAAUCUACAUGUCUGUGAACUCCUUACCCGCCUCCAGGGGUACUGCUGGGAGUCACCUAAGUUUAAUGGACAUGAGCAAUCACUCGAAGAAGAAAAGACAGUUACCUUUUUCCAUAACUGGUGUUCUUUGAGAUUCAUUACUCAUCUGCAUUCUACGACCCGCCCUCCUCCCCCACCGGAGUUUCUGGCAAGAAGGAACUGAGAGUGGAGGAGGCCGGGGGCGCCCCUUAUACAGCGGCAUAUGCGCGCCACUUCAAGGGGCACCAGAGCCGGUCCUCUAUGGAAACUGCUGAGGGAAAAACUUCCAGAACCAGAGCACGUGGCAAGCACACACACCUAAGUUGAAUGGACAUGAGCAACACAUCUUGAAGAAUACCAGUUACGGAAAAAGGUAACUCUUUUCUACCAUUACCUGUCUUUCCCUGCAAGCAGCAGCCAAAAGUACAUUUAACAUAGCCAUUCCCAGUAAAUCUAAGUCUACCACAAAGCAGUUGUAGACCAGUGUCUUUCUAAAUAAUACCUUAUCCUGUAGUCAUUUAAUAAGGACUAGCAGAGGAAUUUAUCAUGUAUCGGUUAAUCUUUUGUCCACUGCCCUCCUCUGAGGGCAAGCUUAUAACAGAUUUAUGCAAAAUCAGAAUGUUUUUGUCACAAAAUCAGAGAUGAUGGAAAUUUUUCAAAUUUCCAAAAUUCCUUUGAAUUUUUUUUAAUGAAACACUUUCCCCAUUUUUUGUUUUGGACCAGCUCUAUCCCAAGUCAUAUGACGUUAUUCCAAUGAUGUGUGUCUUUGCCAUCUGAUCUCAGCCUAGGUUCUUUGUGAGGGUUAAGAAUCAUGACCUUGUGUCAAUUUAUGAUUUCACACUGCAACUGGGAAAAACUUGUCAUUUCACAUAGUUUUGAGGCAAAACCAGCUGAAGCACUACAAUGUUUUGAUUUGUUUCACUAAUGGAUGUAAGACUGGCGAAGGAUUCUUACAAGAUUCAAGAGUGCGAACCCAUGUGAAAUGAAACCAAAUAAGAUUCACGUGAACCUUUCCAAACUUCCAGUUGAUUAUAGGCCAGUUUUGCACAGCACUUAUACACUGUUUGGCCAGAGGAUACCAGACAAAACAAAGAUAAAACUGAAGCUUCUCCACUCCUCUCUGGUGAGGACAAGCCUGGAAUGGUCCACAGGCCUGCCAGUCUGACUUCACUCCUAAUUACCACUGUCCUGUCAGUUUGAUUUGUAUGGGAAGGGAGCCCUGAGGGGGAAGCAUGGGUGUUUUUCAUCACCACACUGAUUCCAGCAGAAUGUUAAGAGAUUUCCCUGUCACAGGGAAUGCUUCAUGGACAACUUCAGAAAUGAGUCAGAGAAGUCCUAAGCAAGCAGCCCCUGCCAGUGCAGGAUGGUUCCCUAAGCUAUGUAACCUACUGUUCUAACCCACCCCUCCAUUCUAGGCUGUCCUUUGCCCUGCCCUGGAACCCAUCUGCCUGGGGCGACCCAUCCAUAUAGGCAAACUAGGCAGUCACCUAGGGUGCCAAAUUAAAUGGGGCACUAAAUUUGAGGGAAAAAAAUCAAAUUAAAAAAAAUGGAAAAAGAUGAAAAAAAU